GGAGGCGUAGCUCAGUUGGUUAGAGCGCUGGCCUGUCACGCCAGAGGUCGCGGGUUCGAGUCCCGUCGCUUCCGCCA
rnacentral:tRNA from 1 species